rnacentral:rRNA from 1 species
UACGUAGGGUGCGAGCGUUAAUCGGAAUUACUGGGCGUAAAGUGUGCGCAGGCGGCCGCGCAAGUCGAGUGUGAAAUCCCCCGAGCUUAACUUGGGAAUUGCGCUCGAAACUACGUGGCUGGAGUGUGGCAGAGGAAGGUGGAAUUCCACGUGUAGCGGUGAAAUGCGUAGAGAUGUGGAGGAACACCGAUGGCGAAGGCAGCCCUUCUGGGCCAACACUGACGCUCAUGCACGAAAGCGUGGGGAGCAAACAGG